rnacentral:rRNA from 1 species
UAGCUAGUUGGUGAGGUAAAGGCUUACCAAGGCGACGAUCUGUAGCGGGUCUGAGAGGAUGAUCCGCCACACUGGAACUGAGACACGGUCCAGACUCCUACGGGAGGCAGCAGUGGGGAAUUUUGGACAAUGGGGGCAACCCUGAUCCAGCCAUGCCGCGUGAGUGAAGAAGGCCUUCGGGUUGUAAAGCUCUUUCGGCCGGGAAGAAAUCGCAUGGGCCAAUACCCUGUGUGGAUGACGGUACCGGAAUAAGAAGCACCGGCUAACUACGUGCCAGCAGCCGCGGUAAUACGUAGGGUGCGAGCGUUAAUCGGAAUUACUGGGCGUAAAGCGUGCGCAGGCGGUUUUGUAAGACAGGCGUGAAAUCCCCGGGCUUAACCUGGGAACUGCGUUUGUGACUGCAAGGCUAGAGUACGGCAGAGGGGGGUGGAAUUCCACGUGUAGCAGUGAAAUGCGUAGAGAUGUGGAGGAACACCAAUGGCGAAGGCAGCCCCCUGGGUCGAUACUGACGCUCAUGCACGAAAGCGUGGGUAGCAAACAGGAUUAGAUACCCUGGUAGUCCACGCCCUAAACUAUGUCAACUAGGUGUUGGGUGGGUAAAACCAUUUAGUACCGUAGCUAACGCGUGAAGUUGACCGCCUGGGGAGUACGGCCGCAAGGUUAAAACUCAAAGGAAUUGACGGGGACCCGCACAAGCGGUGGAUGAUGUGGAUUAAUUCGAUGCAACGCGAAAAACCUUACCUACCCUUGACAUGCCAGGAACUUGCCAGAGAUGGCUUGGUGCCCGAAAGGGAGCCUGGACACAGGUGCUGCAUGGCUGUCGUCAGCUCGUGUCGUGAGAUGUUGGGUUAAGUCCCGCAACGAGCGCAACCCUUGUCGUUAAUUGCCAUCAUUUGGUCGGGCACUUUAACGAGACUGCCGGUGACAAACCGGAGGAAGGUGGGGAUGACGUCAAGUCCUCAUGGCCCUUAUGGGUAGGGCUUCACACGUCAUACAAUGGUCGGUACAAAGGGUUGCCAAGCCGCGAGGCGGAGCCAAUCCCAGAAAGCCGAUCGUAGUCCGGAUUGCAGGCUGCAACUCGCCUGCAUGAAGUCGGAAUCGCUAGUAAUCGUGGAUCAGCAUGUCACGGUGAAUACGUUCCCGGGUCUUGUACACACCGCCCGUCACACCAUGGGAGCGGGUUCCGCCAGAAGUAGGUAGCCUAACCGCAAGGAGGGCGCUUACCACGGCGGGGUUCGUGACUGGGGUGAAGUCGUAACAAGGUAGCCGUAGGGGAACCUGCGGCUG